GCGGCUUUAGCUCACUUGGGAGAGCGCCAGACUGAAGCGUACUUCAUCACAACUAUCUGGAGGCACUGUGUUCGAUCCACAGAAGCCGCA
rnacentral:tRNA from 2 species